CAGAGAUAUGCCCUCCGGGGCAGACCUCCCACCCUGUAUAAUUUACUCUUGUUGCUUUGGCAGGCCGCCUUCGGGCCCCCGGCACUUCUGCUGGGGAGCGUCUGCCAGAGGACCCUAAACUCUGAAUGUUAGUGUUGUCUGAGUACUAUAAAAUAGUUA
rnacentral:misc_RNA from 1 species